UCAGGUGGUCAAUCCCUCACUCAGUGGUGUUGAGACGAACACUAGCUUAAAGCUAUCUUAGCUGCUUCUAAUGGAGCACACGUUGAUAUGGAAACACUUUCAUUAAGGUUGUAACUAAAUGAUGUCCGGAGGAAAAGAAGAGGAGUUCAAAUUCUGCCGUCACUCUCUCUCAAAGAUAGAAAUGCUCCCGCGCUUUUCUUCCGAAGUAACGUCAGCUAACGUGGACAAACAUGGCUGCCAAUUAACGUUAGCCUGGCCCUAGCUGUCUAUGGGCCCUCCUAGUAGCCAGCCCGGAAUCGCCCAUGCACUACCACCACCGCCAGCUGUGGAGGACGCAGUACAGUAAUGUGCAUCGCGGCAGCAUCAAUAACGGUAGAGCGGAGCGGUUCCCGGAUGUUCACCUUUCCGUCCAUUCUCCAAAGUUGACUCCAUUUUUGCAGAGCGGUAGCGUAAAGGUUCUUCUAAACACUGGCAUCAUUGUUGCUGACACACCCUGAACCAUUGGACUACGAGCGUCGUGCAGUUAUCAAAGGUGUCCGAGAUGUUCCUGGAGAUUUUCUCACCACCGUCCACAAUCUGUUUAAAGUUUCUCCAGCUGACCCACCAACUCCCAGGACCUAAAGUGGGCGUCCAACAUCGACACAGUAAUCAAAAAGGCCCAGCAGAGGAUGUACUUCCUGCGCCAGCUCAGAACCUGCUUUAGGAGCUGAUGCUCCAGUUCUACACUGCAAUAAUCAAGUCUCUUGCAGACCCAUUACUCCCUGGACACAACCUGUUCCAACUUCUCCCCUCUUGUAGGCACAACAAAACACUGUAUGCCAAAACAAAGUUUCUUCCUACAGGCCAUCACUCUGAUGAACAGUUAACAUAAGUUCAAUCACACUAUAUAUAUUUUUUUGUUUUUAUCGUACAUGUCACUGUCAAAAUGAAAACCCAAGCUGCUGUGUGUAUAUAUACUGACAUGUAUAUGCAUUUUCACGUCAUGUUUAUAAAGCAACCUGUUACAUUAACCAUUCAAUAUUUAUUCCACUACUGUGUUAUUGUUUACAAUUGACAGAAACAGUCUGACAUUGCAUGUUGUAUUGUGUGUGUAUAUAUCAAUAAAGCUGCUGUACUGUUCUGUUUUUUUUU